rnacentral:rRNA from 1 species
UACGUAGGGUGCAAGCGUUAAUCGGAAUUACUGGGCGUAAAGCGUGCGCAGGCGGUGAUGUAAGACAGGUGUGAAAUCCCCGGGCUUAACCUGGGAACUGCAUUUGUGACUGCAUCGCUGGAGUGCGGCAGAGGGGGAUGGAAUUCCGCGUGUAGCAGUGAAAUGCGUAGAUAUCGAGAGGAACACCUGAGGUGAAGACGGGUUGCUGGGCCGACACUGACGCUGAGUGCGCGAAAGCCAGGGGAGCAAACGGG